rnacentral:rRNA from 1 species
GACGAACGCUGGCGGCGUGCUUAACACAUGCAAGUCGAACGGAAAGGCCUCUUUCGGGGGGUACUCGAGUGGCGAACGGGUGAGUAACACGUGAGUAACCUGCCCUUGACUUUGGGAUAACUUCAGGAAACUGGGGCUAAUACCGGAUAGGAGCUCCUGCUGCAUGGUGGGGGUUGGAAAGUUUCGGCGGUUGGGGAUGGACUCGCGGCUUAUCAGCUUGUUGGUGGGGUAGUGGCUUACCAAGGCUUUGACGGGUAGCCGGCCUGAGAGGGUGACCGGCCACAGUGGGACUGAGAUACGGCCCAGACUCCUACGGGAGGCAGCAGGGGGGAAUAUUGCACAAUGGGUGGAAGCCGGAUGCAGCAACGCCGUGUGCGGGAGGACGGCCUUCGGGUUGGAAACCGCUUUCGCUCAUGACGAAGCUUUGUGUGACGGUAGUGGGUAAAGAAGCACCGGCUAACUACGUG